rnacentral:rRNA from 1 species
UACGUAGGGUGCAAGCGUUGUCCGGAAUUAUUGGGCGUAAAGAGCUCGUAGGUGGUCUGUCGCGUCUGCUGUGAAAACUCGGGGCUUAACUCCGGGCCUGCAGUGGGUACGGGCUGACUAGAGUGCGGUAGGGGAGACUGGAAUUCCUGGUGUAGCGGUGAAAUGCGCAGAUAUCAGGAGGAACACCGGUGGCGAAGGCGGGUCUCUGGGCCGUAACUGACGCUGAGGAGCGAAAGCGUGGGGAGCGAACAGG